UUUCCGUAGGUGAACCUGCGGAAAGGAUCAUUA
rnacentral:rRNA from 1 species